UACAGAGGUCUCGAGCGUUGUUCGGAUUCAUUGGGCGUAAAGGGCGCGUAGGCGGCGGGGUAAGUCUGGUGUGAAAUCUCGGAGCUCAACUCCGAAAUUGCACUGGAUACUGCUCUGCUAGAGGGCUGGAGAGGAGAUCGGAAUUCACGGUGUAGCAGUGAAAUGCGUAGAUAUCGUGAGGAAGACCAGUGGCGAAGGCGGAUCUCUGGACAGCUCCUGACGCUGAGGCGCGAAGGCUAGGGGAGCAAAACGGG
rnacentral:rRNA from 1 species